AUCCACCUUCACUGGCUCCCAAUUAAGUCCCGCAUCAAAUACAAAUCCCUCCAUGCCCCGGCCCCACUCUACCUCUCUGACCAACUCCACCCAUACAUCCCACCCAGAAACCUGCGGUACUCAGAUGCUGGCCUGCUCUCCAUCCCCCACACCAGACUCUGUACCUUCGGACACAGCCCCAUCCCUCUGGAACACCCUUCCUGCAGGUAUUCGAAAUGCUACAUCCCUGGACAUGUAAAAAAAAAAAAUCCCGAAAC